GGAAGUAAAAGCGUAACAAGGUUUCCGUAGGUGAACCUGCGGAAGGAUCAUUAUUGUAUAACCGAGGUGCGAGGGCUGUCGCUGACCCGAAAGGUCGUGCACGCCCGAGUGCCCUCACACACAUCCAUCUCACCCCUAUGUGCACCACCGCGUGGGUCCCCCUUUGGCUUGUUCGGAGGGGGGCUUACGUUUUCACACAAACUUUGUAUGCAGUGUAGAAUGUAUUUUUUGUUUUUUGCGAUCACGCAAUCAAUACAACUUUCAACAACGGAUCUCUUGGCUCUC
rnacentral:misc_RNA from 1 species